rnacentral:rRNA from 1 species
GACGAACGCUGGCGGCGUGCCUAAUACAUGCAAGUAGAACGCUGAAGGAGGAUCUUGCUUCUCUGGAUGAGUUGCGAACGGGUGAGUAACGCGUAGGUAACCUGCCUGGUAGCGGGGGAUAACUAUUGGAAACGAUAGCUAAUACCGCAUAAUAGUAGAUGUUGCAUGACAUUUGCUUAAAAGGUGCAAUUUCAUCACUACCAGAUGGACCUGCGUUGUAUUAGCUAGUUGGUGGGGUAACGGCUCACCAAGGCGACGAUACAUAGCCGACCUGAGAGGGUGAUCGGCCACACUGGGACUGAGACACGGCCCAGACGCCUACGGGAGGCAGCAGUAGGGAAUCUUCGGCAAUGGACGGAAGUCUGACCGAGCAACGCCGCGUGAGUGAAGAAGGUUGUCGGAUCGUAAAGCUCUGUUGUAAGGGAAGAAAGAGUGUGAGAGUGGAAAGUUCACACUGUGACGGUAUCUUACCAGAAAGGGACGGCUAACUACGUG